CUUUUGUAUAUGUAAUCAACGCCUCAUGGUUCUUUUUCUAAUUACUUACUAUUAUUUAACUUGAGGCUUUCAUAAAACAUGUCUUGAGUUUUGAGGAACGAGAAAGAAAUCAAUGUUAAGAUAAGCACAAUUUUUUUCAAAGUGAACAUUAUGUAAGAGAACAGAUUAAGCACACGUCUUAAUUUUUACCGUUAACCCUGCAAUUUAUUUUACAAGCUUUAACAAAGAGAAUUGCGCUAUCUUCUAGAGUUCUCCAAAAUAAAAGAGGGGAAAAGAGGGAAAAAAUUAAUUUCAUGCAUAUUUUAUUGUAAUGUUGCUGGUUAAGUGUUUUUUUUUUUUUUUUUAAUAGAAAGUUAUGUAGCAAACACCUUAAAUAAGAUAAGUGGAAGUAUAUAAUGUCUAGCAUAAGACUUUCUCUUGGUCAAUCAUAGGAUUUUUGUGAAGCAUUCGAACUUGGAUUCUCGUGUAGAAGAACUUGAUAAGUUACUAUGGUUUGAUUAAACUGGAGCAGGUUCUUAUAUAUUGUUUGUAUGAUAGAAACUCAUCCGUGGAGAUGCUUGGAGUAUAAAUAUAGAUGGGCUGUGGAGUUGCUUAAUUAAUCUGUCAAUAGUAGACAGAGACUUUCACAAUCACAAUUUAUUGUUCUCUUUCAUUCAUGUUUACAUUUGGACUGCCUAUUGUAUAGGUCUUUGUACGUAAUAUAAUAGUUGAGUGGCAUAUAAAUCAUAUACCGGAACAAAUAUAAGUAUAAAUUAAGUAAAGAUUUUGUAGAAUCUGAUAAUUGAAUUCAAGAAACUUCUUUGCUUAUUCUGAAUUUGAAAAUUUUGCCUCCAACCAUUUUCACUGAUCAUCAAAUAGCAAUAAAAGGCUGAAUGUAUACUCAAAAGUAGUUGCCUAUUCUAUACUGGUGAGAAGAAAAAGUGAAGAGAAAUACAUUAUUUAUUUAUAAAUAAAAUAGAUUUUUCUGAAUAAUUCACAUAUUCUUGCUAAGUUUAGCUCUACAAACUUCCUAUAGCUCCAAGUUUUUAACUUGUGUUUACAGUUUACAAGUACUUGACUCUUGAAAACCAUAGUAACUCAUUUUGUUAUAGCUUAUAUUACUUAUCAUUUUUCACUAUCAACAUAAUUGCUAUUUUUAUUUCACCAUGAAAGUAAACUAUUCUUUGUUUUCAUUAAUGACGAAUGAACUCCAGCAGAACAUAGUGUAAUGCUGAAGAUAUUUCACGAAGAUAUUUUUUUCAGGUACUGAUUUCUUAUUAUUUCAGCUUUAGAUCUGAAGUAUAACUGAGGUAUGUCGAUUUUAUAGUAUUUUAGUUUAGGUUUGUUUGUUCUCAUUAGGUUCAUUUCUUUUUCCAAAUUAUAAAUAAUUUCUUAUGCUGUCGAUUUCUCAUCAUUUUAGCUUCAAAUCUUGUGUUUUGUCAGUGUGGUAAUUUUUUAUUUUAAUUUGCUUAUACUUUUUAAGGGAUUGGUGGUGACUAUCGGUCCAUAAUCAAUGGCAUUCUAAGUCUUUUUAUUCGAAGUACCUAUGGAAUUUGAAUUUUUUUACUUAGGUGUUGUGUGGGGAUAUUGUUAGAAUUUGGGAGUUAUUUAAUUGAAUCAAUUGCAAUGGAUCAUGUUGUGGGUAGAAAGCUUAAGCUUCGAAAGAAAAUAAGGAGUGGUUGAUUCCGGGAAUUUUAUUUACGUACCCAUUUUAUUUAAUUCUUAUUUUGGUGUAGUUAAGGUAAUUUCUAUUUUUUUUUUUUUUUGAAAAAAUUAUAUUUCUUUAAUUUACUCAUGCAGGUGUAAACAUUCGAAAUGAAAAAGAAGUUCCCAUUAAGCUGGUAUGUUCAUAUUUGUUUUCUUCUUUUGAACUUUUCACGUGUUAUAUAAUUUCCAAGGAAUGCAAUCCUUUGGAUUCCAUAUUUUAUACGCAAAUUUAAUCUCUCUUGUUGUCAUGUGUUUAGUGUUUUUUUUUUUCUUUUUUCUUUUUUCUUUUUUCGUUGUAGUUUUACUUGUAUAAAUAUAAAUGUUUGUUCAUCUCUGUAAUUUACUUCGUUUAUUUUAUUAAAUGCAUCAUGUUGCUUUCUUGAAUAUUUGUUUCUAUCAUUUUUUGUUUGAUGUUAAAUUUUUUUUUUUUUGAAGGAAUUUUCUUUUAAUUCAUUUCUCGUACUCUAUAGUUUACUCUUCCUGCGUAUAUAUCAAACAAAUUUUCUAAUAGUUUUUGUCUCAAUUUCUUAGUUUGUACUGCUUUCUUUGGAAUUUCAAUAUUCGAUGGUCUCUUCUACUCCUGCGAUGGAUAUUUCAGAAAUACCUGCUUAUGAAGACACUGCUUUUGUUUACAUUGACACUAGAUCUCGUAGUGGGAAAGACUCAUGCAACUCCUCCAUUCGCCAACAGCAAAGUCAAAAAGAAAGAGAUCGGCGAAAAAGACUUAGAUCUGGAUGUAUUGAUCAGCGUAAAAGGAUAAAUGAGCAUAUGAUUCUAGGAAAUAAUUCUUCUGCUGUUGCCCAAUUGCAUGAAUCUAUAAUACAUCAUGAUCCUAAUGCUUCUACUUCAAAUAAAACAAUACAUAAUAUUUCUAAUUUUGAAUUAGAAAGAACUCUUAAUGGAUUGAACGUGCCAUCUAUUGCUUAUGUAUUGCCAACAUCCAUCUAUUGUAAACAUUGUAAUGCUUGUAAAUUUUACAGAGAAACUAAAGGUUUUUGUUGUGCUGACGGAAAAAUCUAGUUUUUAAUUGCCCGACUCACCAAGGGAACUAUAUAAUUUAUUUACUUCUAAAGAACUGAGUUGCAUAGAAUUCAAGAAAAUUGUGAGGGGAUAUAAUAACCAUUUGGCUUUUAAUUCAUUUGGUGUGAAGUACGAUAAAAACAUCUUUAAAGCAUAUAAAGGUAUUUACAC
rnacentral:lncRNA from 1 species